rnacentral:rRNA from 1 species
GACGAACGCUGGCGGCGUGCUUAACACAUGCAAGUCGAACGAUGAAGCCUAGCUUGCUAGGUGGAUUAGUGGCGAACGGGUGAGUAAUAGUGAGUGACCUACCUUUGACUCUGGGAUAAGCCUGGGAAACUGGGUCUAAUACCGGAUACGACCAAUCUCCGCAUGGGGUGUGGUGGAAAGCGUUAUGGAGUGGUUUAGAUGGGCUCACGGCCUAUCAGCUUGUUGGUGAGGUAAUGGCUUACCAAGGCGACGACGGGUACCGGCCUGAGAGGGUGACCGGCCACACUGGGACUGAGACACGGCCCAGACUCCUACGGGAGGCAGCAGUGGGGAAUAUUGCACAAUGGGCGCAAGCCUGAUGCAGCGACGCCGCGUGAGGGAUGACGGCCUUUCGGGUUGUAAACCUCUGUUAGCAUCGAAGAAGCGAAAGUGAUCGUAGGUGC